CACUGCAGGCAUUCCUAGUAUCUCUAUGUCAUUGUGAAUGUUCACUUUGUUUAAAAACGAAUUAUGAAAAAAAUCGAUUAUUCAAAACAAUGAUAUUUUUUCAAUUAAAACAUGCAAAACAUUUGUUGAAUAGAAACAAAUAAGAGUGCAAAUAAUUGGAUAGAGGCUCAAAUUUAUUUGAUAGAAUGGUAGUCUGCAAAUGGCAAGACUCCAUAGAUCUUUACAAAUUUGAAAUUGGUGAUAUAUAUUGGAAAAGGG
rnacentral:lncRNA from 1 species